rnacentral:miRNA from 1 species
AUCACAUUAUUUCAAAUUCCCC